UAGCCCAGAGGUGUCCCUUUUUUUUUAUUUUAGCUGGAAGAAUCUUCCUGCUGAAGACUGAGGAGGAGAUUUCUGUGUCCUGAGACAACGAAAUACAAAUAGGAAACGCCUCAAAUCUGAUCACCUGACAAAGGAUGGGGGAGGAGCCGAGUCACACGACAGAGAGGAUACUAAACCUCGCCCUGGAGAUCAUCUACCUGCUGACCGGAGAGGAAUGCAUUAUAGUGAAGAAGGCAACUGAUGGUCACCUGACUUGUGUGCCACAACAUUGGAGCAGGAAACUGAGCCCCAUGACAGAGCCUUCCACUUAUUUCCUUAUAUCUGAUAUAAACAAUGACCAGAAGAUUCUAGAAGUCACCCAGAAGAUCAUAGAGUUGCUGACAGG